rnacentral:rRNA from 1 species
UAGAGUUUGAUCCUGGCUCAGAAUCAACGCUGGCGGCGUGCCUAACACAUGCAAGUCGCACGAGAAAGGGGCUUCGGCUCUGAGUAAAGUGGCGCACGGGUGAGUAACACGUGAAUUAUCUACCUCCGAGUGGGGAAUAACUGAGAGAAAUCUUAGCUAAUACCGCAUAACACUUACGAGUCAAAGCAGCAAUGCGCUUGGAGAGGAGUUCGCGGCCGAUUAGUUAGUUGGCGGGGUAAUGGCCCACCAAGACGAUGAUCGGUAUCCGGCCUGAGAGGGCGCACGGACACACUGGAACUGAAACACGGUCCAGACUCCUACGGGAGGCAGCAGUGGGGAAUUUUGCGCAAUGGGGGAAACCCUGACGCAGCAACGCCGCGUGGAGGAUGAAAUCCCUUGGGAUGUAAACUCCUUUCGAUAGGGAAGAUUAUGACGGUACCUAUAGAAGAAGCCCCGGCUAACUUCGUGCCAGCAGCCGCGGUAAUACGAGGGGGGCAAGCGUUGUUCGGAAUUAUUGGGCGUAAAGGGCGCGUAGGCGGUUUGACAAGUCUGAUGUGAAAUCUCUGGGCUCAACCCAGAGUCUGCAUUAGAAACUGUCGGGCUUGAGUAUGGGAGAGGUGAGUGGAAUUUCCGGUGUAGCGGUGAAAUGCGUAGAUAUCGGAAGGAACACCUGUGGCGAAAGCGGCUCACUGGACCAUAACUGACGCUGAGGCGCGAAAGCUAGGGGA